rnacentral:rRNA from 1 species
UUGGAGGGCAAGUCUGGUGCCAGCAGCCGCGGUAAUUCCAGCUCCAAUAGCGUAUAUUAAAGUUGUUGCAGUUAAAAAGCUCGUAGUUGAAUUUCGGGAUCAGAGUGUCGGUCGUGCCUCGGUACGCACUGGUAUUAUUGGUUCCUACCUUCUGAAGAACCGCGAUGUCAUUAAUUUGGUGUCGUGGGGAAUCAGGACUGUUACUUUGAAAAAAUUAGAGUGUUUAAAGCAGGCUUACGCUUGAAUACAUUAGCAUGGAAUAAUGAAAUAGGACGUUUGAUUCUAUUUUGUUGGUAUCUAGGAUCACCGUAAUGAUUAAUAGGGAUAGUUGGGGGCAUUAGUAUUCAAUUGUCAGAGGUGAAAUUCUUGGAUUUAUUGAAGACUAACUACUGCGAAAGCAUUUGCCAAGGAUGUUUUCAUUAAUCAAGAACGAAAGUUAGGGGAUCGAAGACGAUCAGAUACCGUCGUAGUCUUAACCAUAAACUAUGCCGACUAGGGAUCGGACGAAGUUAAUUUUAUAAUGACGCGUUCGGCGCCUUACGGAAAC